CCUACGGGGUGCAGCAGUGGGGAAUAUUGGACAAUGGGCGAAAGCCUGAUCCAGCCAUGCCGCGUGUGUGAAGAAGGCCUUCGGGUUGUAAAGCACUUUCAGUGGGGAAGAAAGCCUUGGGGCUAAUACCCUCGAGGAAGGACAUCACCCACAGAAGAAGCACCGGCUAACUCCGUGCCAGCAGCCGCGGUAAUACGGAGGGUGCGAGCGUUAAUCGGAAUUACUGGGCGUAAAGCGCGCGUAGGCGGUCUGAUAAGCCGGUUGUGAAAGCCCCGGGCUCAACCUGGGAACGGCAUCCGGAACUGUCAGGCUAGAGUGCAGGAGAGGAAGGUAGAAUUCCCGGUGUAGCGGUGAAAUGCGUAGAGAUCGGGAGGAAUACCAGUGGCGAAGGCGGCCUUCUGGACUGACACUGACGCUGAGGUGCGAAAGCGUGGGUAGCAAACAGGAUUACAUACCCCAGUAGUC
rnacentral:rRNA from 1 species